rnacentral:rRNA from 1 species
GUCUACGGCCACGUUACCCUGAACAAGCCCGAUACUGUCUGAUCUCGGAAGCUAAGCAGGGUCGGGCCUGGUUAGUACUUGGAAUGGAGACCACCUAGAAAGACCCCGUGCUGUAGGUG